GAGAGGUGGCUGAGCGGUUGAAAGCGCACGCUUGGAAAGCGUGUUUACGUUAAUAGCGUAACGUGGGUUCGAAUCCCACUCUCUCC
rnacentral:tRNA from 1 species